rnacentral:rRNA from 1 species
GACGAACGCUGGCGGCGUGCUUAACACAUGCAAGUCGAACGGUAAGGCCCUUCGGGGUACACGAGUGGCGAACGGGCGAGUAACACGUGGGUGAUCUGCCCUGCACUUCGGGAUAAGCCUGGGAAACUGGGUCUAAUACCGGAUAGGACUCCUGGCUUCAUGGUUGGGGGUGGAAAGCUUUUGCGGUGUGGGAUGGGCCCGCGGCCUAUCAGCUUGUUGGUGGGGUAAUGGCCUACCAAGGCGACGACGGGUAGCCGGCCUGAGAGGGUGACCGGUCAAACUGUGAAUGAGAUACGGCCCAGACUCGUACGGGAGGCGGCAGUGGGGAAUAUUGCACAAUGGGCGCAAGCCUGAUGCAGCGACGCCGCGUGAGGGAUGACGGCCUUCGGGUUAAAAACCUCUUUCAGCACCGACGAAGCGCAAGUGACGGUAGGUGCAGAAGAAGGACCGGCCAACUACGUGCCAGCCGCCGCCGUAA